rnacentral:tRNA from 1 species
UCCCUUGUGGCUCAGUUGGUAGAGCAUGGUGCUUGCAAUGCCAGGGUUGUGGGUUCAAUUCCCACAGGGGGAC